CCUACGGGAGGCAGCAGUGAGGAAUAUUGCGCAAUGCCCGAAAGGGUGACGCAGCGACGCCGCGUGAAGGAUGAAGGCCCUAUGGGUCGUAAACUUCUUUUGCGAGGGAAGAAUCUCCUGCUAUAGGCAGGAUUGACUGUACCUCGAGAAAAAGCAUCGGCUAACUACGUGCCAGCAGCCGCGGUAAU
rnacentral:rRNA from 1 species